UUGUAGAUAGGGUGCUCAACUUCUAUUGGGUCAAAUGUUAUCCAGGCUUUGCAUGGCAUGCCAAAAGGCAUACUCCAAAAAUAGGCGCAAGGGGCUAUGCUAUCUGGAAAACGGGGUUGAGGAAUUGGAACAAGUGCCAUAAUCCUCUAUAAGACUUGUACCCAUUUGAACUCCCCUUUUCCCCAAAUCACAGGUUUCCUUGGCAAAGAAGCCCUACUUUCUUGGCAAAACACAAAGGGAUGCUAGAUGGCUAACUGGGCCUUUCAUACCUGUUGUAAACGCUGGUUUUCUCCACAUCUGAAGAUUAGCCCUCAUUUAGGUGGAAAAACUUCAAAAAGAGUAAACACCCUGAACUGCCUUAAUAGUCAAAACUGAGGUCUUUGGCUUGUCACUCAGUUAUGUUUCCGACACUAAUAUUUUCCUAAGCAAUUGGCCUGGAGUUUUACAGGUAGUUCUCAACUUAACGACCACAAUUGAGCCCAAAAUUUAGGUUGCUAAAUGAAUUUGUUGAGUUUUGCCCAUUGUAUGACUUUUCUUGCCACAGUUGUUAAGUGAAUCUGGUUUCUCCAUUGACUUUGCUUGUCAGAAGGUUGCAAAAGGGAAUCCCGUGACUCCAGAACACUGCAACCGUCAUAAAUGCGAGUCAGUUGUCAAGCAUAUGAAUGUGAAUCAUGUGACCAUGGGAAUUGCUGCAACGAUCGAUCACCAUCUCACAAAAGGACAGAUCUUUUCAUCAGAUGACACUAUUUCAAUCAUGGAGUAUUAGAGGCAUUUUAACACUCUGGAAUUUUGGGACUGUAAUUAAUUUGGGCAUUUUAUGUCAGUUACCUUUUGUAACUAUUUACUCUAGUAAUUUUUCUACAGAACAUAACCUACGUUCCCUCUGCAGCUAAAAGGGAAGUAUCUUGCUUUGUCUUUCCAAUAUCAACUUUUCUCAACUUAUUUUUCUCUUUUCUUAGUAUUUAAUAUAUUUGCCAAGGUAGUCUUCCCUUGGCUUGUAGCUGUCAUCCCAUCCUUUCCAUAGCAACUUUGUAAAUCAAAGGAUUGGUUUGGCUCUGAGAGGGAAAGGGGCACUUAGGAACACCUUGAGGUAUUUUUUGGUCAAUUUCAUUAACGGAAAUAAAACACUUUGUAAAUGCAUACUCCUAGAUAACUAGGAUCCAUCAAAUGCCUUUUAACCACUACAGAUAGUUUUUGACCUACCAUUUGUUUAGUAACCAAAGUUAUAAUAGCAAUGAAAAAAGUGACAUGACUGGUCCUUGCAUGUACAACCAUUAUGGCAUUCUCAGCCAAAUGACCAAAGUUCAGGCAUUUGGCAGUGCCAUGUAUUUAUGGGUGCAGUGUCCUGGGGUCAUGCAAUCACCAUUUGCUACUUUUGCUGGCUUUCAACGAGCAAAGUCAAUGGGAGAGCCUGGAUUCACUUUUAAAGACUGCAUGAUUCACUUAAUUGCAGUGAUUUGCUUAAAAACUGGCAAAAGUCAAAAACACAUAACUCAUUUAUCAACCUUGCAUCUACAGUAGAGGAUUCCAUAAUGGAUUGUGUACACAACAUUCUGAAACAUUGUUUUGGCAUCCAUGUUUAUAAAACAAUACGAAUUGAAAAUUGGAUUUUGUGGGAUGAACAUUAGGACAACUUCUGCUUGCAAGUUAAUAAUGCCAAAAUCAUGUACUGAAGCAACUUUGAGGAAGAAAAACAUAUUAGUCUAUGAUAGCCAAAACUCAGGAGUCUGAUAGCACUUUUUCAGGCUAACAUUUAAAAAGGCACAAAAAAGCUUGUGCCUUUUUUUAUAAAAGAUGCUACUAGACAUCUGAUUUAAGGCAAUUUGCUAAUCUUAAAAGAGUGUUUCAGCUUUUCAAAGAUUGAACUAUGCUAACUGCUGAGAUAUGAUGAGGUCCUAGAACAGAUUUCUUCAAUCUUGGCAGCUUUAAGACUUGUGGACUUCAAUAGCUAUUCAAGCAUAGCUGGCUGGAGAAUUCUGGGAGUUGAAGUCCACAAGUAUUAAAGCUGCUAAGUUUGAAGAACUCUGUCCUAGAACAACACAGGUUCUUUCUACCUUUUCUGUAGCCUUUAAAAACAAAUCUUUUAAACUCUUCGCCUCCAUUUUUUUUUAUGGCUGGUAUACAGUGGUAAUGACCCUAGCAAGUGCUUUGAAAAGGAAUAGCAUAGAUUUAAAAAUGGAUGACAAAAAAAUCAAAAGAAAAUGGGAAACCCAUUUAGAGCUUAUAAUUUUGAAUACAAGCAACAUUCAUUUCUUACACCUCCCGGCAAUAUAGUCUUAACUAGGAUGUAGCAGAAUUCAUUUUUUAUUUUUUAAUUCAACAUUCUGGAAAUGUGUAGAAAGGGAUGUACAACUAAUUUACAAUAGGCUUCUUCAUAUUUGCUCUGGACAGUGGAAAUUGUAGUCCAAUACGUUGGGAACAUUUUAAAGCCGUAAAAUGAGCAAGUGCCUUAUAUAUUGUAUGCAAGGUAAUUUGGCUUGAAGUACCGAAGUAAGCAAAGGGUUGAGGAUUACAAAUAGUCCUUACAAAUACUGUUGGGAUUAUAAUUCAUCCGUCACAACUGGCCACAUCAGUGAAGUCUGAUGGGACUGUUAAAUUUUAGAAGGAUGGAUGUUUGGAUAAGGAAUAAAUUCUAGGUACCGUUUUCAUCAAACCCUGUUUUUCUCCUAAUGAAAUGAAAAAUAUUUCUGGGUGAUUUGAAUGGUGUUCAGUUCAGCUGUACGGUAUGGAAUCUGAACUCUUAACAUUUGAGUGGUUCCGAGCCCCUAGAGAGAUGCUUUUGUGGGGGUCAACUGGCUGCAUUCCAUCCCCCCAGUUUCUACCUCAACUUGUUCAGUUCAGCCAUUGGCACUUUCUGGCUGCUUGUUGCGUGGAACAAGGAAGACACCACCAUCGAUAGUGAGCUGCAGCACAUAUUCAUCAGGGGAAUAGGCAUUGCCAGCUUCAUCCCGUAACAUGCAAAAGACUUGGUGGUAGAGGGCUCCCAGCUUCUGCUUCGUCAGUGUCAGACUCCUGUUAAACUCUCCGCGGUCCUGUAACAAGCGCUGUCGCUCACGACUUAGUUCAUCCAGCUCCUGCUCCAGGUGCACCAAUGUCUCCAGUUUGCGCUUGCGACAAUUUUGAGCUGCCACUUUAUUCUUACCGCGGCGGCGGAUGUCCCGGAUUAGUGCCAGCUGAGGCUCAUUCAGCGGGAAACGUGACAGCAGCUCAUUGAAGUCAUCCACUGGCAGGUUGAUGAUCUUUUCCACAGGGAAGGGGAUUUUCAUGGCGAGAGCCCGACGUUCAUCCCUGUUGCCCACUAACUCUCCCCGUGGGCUCUGCCCUUUUUCCAAAGAAUGCUCUGGGUGAUGCUCAGGGAAGGGCAUCUCUGGGACAGGAGCCAAUGGAGGGUAUGCUGGAACGUGGUCCAAGGGAUACAAAGAUGGAUAUUCUGCCCGCUCCAGUCCCUCAGCUUCCAGGGACUCUGCAUCACUGUAAUUAAGGGAUAAUCCAGAGUCUGAUUCCAGAUCUUCUUGGAGCUUGCAAGGCCCCUGUGGUCCAUAGCCAUUCGUUAGCUCCCUCCCCAACAUCAUCCCUGGCAUCCCUUUAUAUCCGCCCAGCAUAGCAGAUCCUGGAGGCUCCAGGGAGGAAGAGAUCAGCAUGCCGGUGUAACUGUAAAGUGUACAAGAAGCAGGCAGAUUUUCUGGGUAGGAAUGGUCAUAGGCUGCAGUAGUAGGGUGAUUGUAAUUGGAAACAGAACCCUCGCCCAUCCCUGCACAUGGCCCGUAGCUAGGGGAUGGUACCAUCUGUUGGGAAUGACCACAUAAAGCUGGAUCGUAGCAACUCUCGGCUGGCAUAUCAAGACCCUGCAGGAAGGGGGGAAAAAAGUUGAGACAGUUCCUCGCUUCCUUCCCCCUCACCCCUCAAGCAAAGAAUGCGGAAAAUGCACAAGUGAGGCUGAUAGGAUUGCAGUCAAACUCAAGGAAUUUUUGAUGGCUUGCCCAGGUUCUUUUCUGACAUUCAAUCUUAUAUAUGCUAGUCCAGUCUCAACAUUCUUUUUUUUUCCCCACUCUCACUAAAUUGCAAAUGUUCCCAAUACCUUUUUCCAACAGAAAUAUUUAAAAACUUUCAGGUUUUUCUAGAAAUUUGCCUUGUCUGUUUAGCUCUUGACUUAACUAUAUCAUUGUAACAUAAAUGUAGCUACCCAAACCUAGCAUCUAUUUCUUCCUAUGUCUAUGUAAGAACCUAUGUAAUGUUCUUAUUGCUGAAAGGUGGUGGUGGUGGGGGUGCAAAGAAAAGGGACACUCAAAAGGACUGUGCAGGUGCUGAGCCCCUUAAGAUGGGUUGAUAACAUUCCCCCCAAGAACAAAAGAAUGAUUCAUCCCAUCGGACAGAUCCCCUAUUGUACAUGGUUUCCCCCACCUCACUUCUCCCCAGGGUUUGCUAUUGAAUGGGAGCAGUGUUGGGAGAUUCAAGAUUUAAAAGGCAGAUGGAUGUAAUGGAUACCUGCCACCCUGCAACUUAGAUUCAGUACACUCCUCUGUAGAGGGACUAACCCCCACAAAUGCAUAUUUUGUAGCUGUGGGAUGGGCUCCACCCAUUCCAUGUACAAAGUACUUCAACAGUAUACUGAUCAGCCAACCUGGCAGCAACUAUCGUGAACUAAACAGAUAUGUUUUCAGUUCUUUGAGUUGUCUCACGAAAUAAUUACUGUAAACAUAUCUUGGGACUGUAACUGAAUAGUGAAGCACCAUACUGGAAAUAUUCAGAGGCUCCGUCAUUAGCUCUCUGCUAUGAAAAAGAAAUAUGGAAGGUGGUUGUUAUGGAAAAAUUGAAGCAUAAAGGAUGAGAAAUGUUGGUUUCUAUAGUAGAAAAGUUACCUUUGAUUUAAUUUGGAAAACACUUAUCCUUUUUGCAAAACAUCACAGGUCAAAUCCACCAACAAUUGUUUGCCCUAGUAUAUACAAGGCAGCCAGUUUGUUUGUGCUUAAGAAACCUUAGAGACCAAGAGACUAUGAGUUCUAAUCCUGCCUUAGGCACAAAACAGCUGGGUGACCUUGGACCUACCACUCACUCACUCUCUGCCCUGGGAAGGAGGCAGUGGCAAACCACUUCUGAAAAACGUUAGCAAAAAAGCUGCAGGCAAACUCCAAGAAUAGGACAUGAACGAAAUGAAGAAAAUGAACAGGAUAUACAAAAGUUGCAGGGUGGAUAAAAAUCAAUGAUUUUUUUAAAAAAAUCAAAAAAAUCAGAUUUUUUUUAUUUAAAUCGGAUUUUUUUUAUUUUUAUCGAAUUUAUUUUAAUAAAAAAACUUUUGGGGUAAAAAUCUAUCGUAAGAUAGUUUUCUAUUUAAGAUACAUAAAUAAUUUAGUUUAUUCAGCAUGAAAUGGAGCUUAGUUAUGUAGCAUGAGGCUGUAUAUUCUGCAACACUGGGACUAUCGGUGAGUCAACAGUGGGUCAAAGGAGUAGCAGAGAUGACAGUUGCUCUCUAAAAAUUAUGAUUUAAAUCGAGUUGAUUUAAAUCAAGCCUUUUUACUAGUGAUUUAAAUUGUGAUUUAAAUCAAAUCCACCCUGUUCCCCUGUGAUAUUUUUACAUUUUAAUUGCUGUUUUUAUUCUAGGUUCGUGAUGGCGAACCUAUGGCACGCGUGCCACAGGUGGCAUGCGGAGCCAUAUUGGUGGGCACGUGAGUUCAGCUCCGGCACACAUGCGCACACUGGCCAGCUGAUUUUCAGGCCUUCUGGGCCCACUGGAAGUUGGCAUACAAGCCAUUUCUGGCCUCCAGAGGGUCUCCAGGGGAGUGGGGAAGGCUAUUUUCACCCUCCCCAGGCUCCUAGAAAGGCUCUGGAGCUUGGGGAGGGCGAAAAAUGGGCCUACCGGGCCCACCAUGCCAUCACAUGCCAAAAGCAAGGGAAGCGCAGGGGGGGUCACGCACACAUGUGCGGGGGUGGGGUGCAUAGAAUUAUGGGUGUGAGCACACACAUGCGCGACCCCCCCGCGCUUCUCCCGCUUUUGGCACACAAUGGCAUAAAGGUUAGCCAUCAUUGUUCUAGGUUGUUUUUAAUAUCUUAAAUACUAUUUUUAAUAAUGUUUUAUUAUCUGUUGCCAAGUCAUACAUUCUUUACCCUGUAACUGUGAUUUGCUUUAUUUUCUAAGUAAAAUAAAGAUUUUAAAAAAGACAGUACAAUAUUCUGCAUAUUACAUUCCACACUCAAAGCUUGAAAACGUGGCUAUUCCCUCAGGGCUGGGAAUCAGAAUGUGUUAAGGGCCCUGUUUCUUGGCUGUAGUGUUAAUUGAGUACUUAUUUGGCUGCUACUGAUAUUUAUUUUCUGGAUGUUUUUACUCUCUUGUUUUUAAUUGUUUUAUAAAUUUAGAAUUGUAAACCGCCCAGAGUCACUUGGUUAAGUUAAAUUGAAGGAAGGAAUGAAGGAAUAUCAACCUGGAAAUGAAGGCCAUUGACUUAAGUUAUUCCCAAGAAAAUGUGGGGAAGAUAGUUUAAAACCAUCUGGAGGUUUCCUUAAUGCUGUCAUCAUAUCUACAAAAUGUAUACUGCACCUGCCCUGGAUGAAACAAAAGGACUCAUCUUUAUAAGGCCUCUGAGACAUGUUGAAGGAGCUGCUGAUUCAGUUCUACGGAGGAAUUAUUGAGUCUGUCAUCUGCACCUCUAUAACUGUCUGGUUUGGCUCUUCAAUCCAACAAGACAGACACAGACUUCAGAGGAUAAUUAGAACUGCAGAAAAAACAAUUGCUACCAACCUGUCUUCCAUUGAGGACCUGUAUACUGCACGAGUCAAAAAGAGGGCUGUGAAAAUAUUUACAGACCCCUCGCAUCCUGGACAUAAACUGUUUCAACUCCUACCCUCAAAACGACGCUAUAGAGCACUGCACACCAAGACAACUACACAAGAACAGUUUUUCCCCGAACGCCAUCACUCUGCUAAACAAAUAAUUCCCUCAACACUGUCAAACUAGUUACUAAGUCUGCAUUACUAUUAAUCUUCUCAUCGUUCCCACCAUGCAUCUCCUUCCACUUAUGAUUGUAUGCUGUAAUUUUGUUGCUUGUAUCCUUUCGAUUUAUAUUGAUAUUGUUUCGUAAUUGCUUAUUUGUACCCUAUGACUAUCAUUAAGUGUUGUACCUUAUGAUUCUUUACGAACGUAUCUUUUCUUUUAUGUACACUCAGAGCGUAUGCCCCAAGACAAAUUCCUUGUGUGUCCAAUCACACUUUGGCCAAUAAAAAAUUCUAUUCUAUUCUAUUAACCAACUAAACAAACUAAUACACAAUCAGAGCCUGAAUGGUAUAAAUCCUGCAGCCAAUAUAACUGAGCAGAGCAUUGAGUACAACUAUAACAUGGCAGUGGACACUAUGUUGGAUUUUCAGUGAACCACACAGCAUGGCUUUCUUGGGUACUGGAAGGGCUGCUCAAGGCCACUUUUGAAGCAGGUUAAACUACUCAGCAGCCUGCUCUUUUUUAUGUAUUUAUUAUAUUAUAUUUAUAUACUAUUUUUCCUCCAGGUGUUCAGGGGAGUAUACAAGGUGCCCUGACCUCCAGUGUUUUUCACACAACCCAAUGAAGUAGACCAGACUAAAUGAAAAUGGCUGCUUCAAAGUCACCCAGACCAGGGGUGAAAUGCUCCCGGUUCAGACCGAUGGCCCGAUCCUGUAGCGAUGGCGGCGGGUGGUUCGGAGAACCGGUAGCAAAAAUCCCUGCGCCCUCCCUUCCCACCAUGCCCAGCUGAGCCGCACGAACAUCAGAGGCUUUUUCUUUUUUUACUUUUA